CAGAUAUUAAUAGAAGCAGAUAUAGGGUACAUGUCCAUGAAACAGUAGCCCAACAACAUAAUAAAAGCAAGUAUACUGUAAUUUACCAGUAUAACUUGUUUUCUUUUCAUGCAUAUAAAUAUUUGCUGUAUUAAAAGGGAACCUUCAACUCAACAACAUGUUGUACAUGCCCUAGCCUUAUGUUAACUUGAAAAAAAAAAAGUUUUCUUCUGAAAUAAACUAUUAUUACAAUGUCAUGUAUCAAGCUCUCAAGAAUAUAACUAGUACUAAAUGGUUACUACUAUACUACUGUAGAAAAUUGGAAAAGAUACAAGUUCAUCCACAAUUCAGCAAAUUUC
rnacentral:lncRNA from 1 species